AUAAUAAUAACAAUAAGAUAUCGAAAAGAUCAAAGUAAAUAAUCUGAGAUUCGGCAAUAUAUUUAAGACGGGUUAUGUUCACAUAAAUUGUGUUUGGUAAAGACUGUCACUAUAUGUAGUGAACCAGUCUUCGGCUUAUACUCACUGAAGAUUAGUAUUCAGGGGAGAUAAUUUAGUAAUGUCUUAAUUCUGGAACGGUUGCGAAGAAAAACAAAUAAUGCGAGAAUAUUUAGUGCGAUUCGCUACACAAUUAUGAUGUCAUUGAUAUAAUUUUUCCUGAGGUUCGUUGUUUUCUUAAUUGAGCUUGGUGGAGAUCAAGAAGGCGUCCGCGACUCCGAGAGUGUGUGUCUACCGUGGUCUGCUACCUUAAGUGCCCAGCCGCCUGCGCCAACUGUAAGGUUGACAAGCUCUGUCCCACGGAAGUCGAGUGAACAGCAGAAUGACAAAGGGCAGGAAAGUUAUGUCUGUAAGAGAAGCUCUUCGGUGCAAGUCGGUAAACUGUUGAGUGCAAGCUUUCAACCAUAUAAGUAUUGAAAAGCUUCCACAUGUAUUUUAGGCCGUCUUCAUUAAACAUUUUCUCCAACUCUUUCUCAAUCAGGAUCUGGUCUUUAUUAUGAAGUUGCAAAUGCACUCCAUAUGGCAAACAAUUUGUACUGUACAGGUGACCUCUGCAUACAAAUGAAGUUCCUUUACAAUGGCGGUGAUCAUCAGGCAAGCAUUUAAUUAUGACGCGCACUGCUGCGGCUCCAGCGCGUAUGAAGGACCCGUCUCCUUUUAUCAGAGCUCAGGCAUUCUUGAGCUCCAUGCGGACUCUACCUCUAAGACAACUGGCCAGUUUCUGCAUAUAGGCUUGCCUGUCAUAUGUUUUAGGUAUACUGCACAGUUGAAGUGCUCUGAUGUGCUUCUCAAGUGUCAACCCUCCCUCAAUGUAUGAAGCAUUUUUAAUGUGAGAAAUUCAUGUUUUUUUCAGCUUUGUAUUCCCGCAGAGCUUUAGCAAGCUGCGUGCUGGCAUCUGUGGUGACAGAGCGUAGAGUAAUGAGGCCUGCUGUUCUCACAUUGUUUAAUUUUUCGUUGAGUAGAGAGCGCUCACUGGCGGCUAUUGACUUUUCGGAGCUGUAUGUUUUUCGGCAUUUGUCUUGUCUAUGGUCACAGCCCUUUCUUCUGCAGUGCCUGUUGGCCACAGCAGCUGCAAUAGGGAGCUUUCUCGUUGUCGUAUGCUCAAUAAUGGCUGCAAAGCUCUGUUGAGCCUUCUCACUACCACCUUGCGGCCGACUUGAAUAUGACACAUCAUAUUGCGUAUAAAUUCCCGAUAUGGCAGGAAGAAGUGACGUGACUUGCCGCAGGUAUUCUUGAUUUUUUAUAAACUGCCUCUCAUUGACUGCUGCCAUUUUGUCACACACAGCAUUACAUUUUUUUGCAUGGCUGUCCUACUGGGAGCUUUUAUAUUGAGGCAUGUGAUGACUGUUGCUAUGUCUGUGAGGCCCAUUUUUGUCUUCACUGCAGGAAUAACUGCCAUUUCAUUAAGUGCACCAGCUGGUGGGCAUUUAGCCGUCUCCACGGCGUCAGACAUCUGGAUGGGUUCUAGGCUGAAAUUGCAGGAAUUACAUUUGACAGCAACGGAAACACAUAACCCCAUUCUGUAAAAAACAUGGACUGCGACCCUUGGGUUUUCGCAGCUUGCCUUGUGA